rnacentral:rRNA from 1 species
CCCUUAGAUGUCCCGGGCCGCACGCGCGUUACACUGAUGCAUUCAACGAGCUUAUAACCUUGGCCGAGAGGCCUGGGCAAUCUUGUUAACGUGCAUCGUGAUAGGGAUAGAUUAUUGAAAUUAUUAAUCUUGAACGAGGAAUUCCUAGUAAACGCAGAUCAUCAAUCUGCAUUGAUUACGUCCCUGCCCUUUGUACACACCGCCCGUCGCACCUACCGAUUGGAUGGUCCGGUGAAGCCUCGGGAUUGUGGUUCUUGCCGCUUUGUUGUGGCGUGACCGCGAGAACUUGUCUAAACCUUAUCAUCUAGAGGGAGGUGAAGUCGUAACA